CGUGCCUAACACAUGCAAGUCGAACGCGAAAGGCCCCUUCGGGGGUCGAUUAGAGUGGCGAACGGGUGAGUAACACGUGGGUAAACCUGCCUUUGAGUGGGGGACAACAGCUCGAAAGGGCUGCUAAUACCGCAUAAGGCCCCAGUUUCCCUGGAAACUAGGGUGAAAGGUGGCCUCUCCUUGGAAGCUACCGCUUGAAGAUGGGCCCGCGGACCAUUAGCUUGUUGGUAGGGUAACGGCCUACCAAGGCUACGAUGGUUAGCUGGUCUGAGAGGAUGGAUCAGCCACACUGGAACUGAGACACGGUCCAGACUCCUACGGGAGGCAGCAGUGGGGAAUCUUGGACAAUGGGGGAAACCCUGAUCCAGCAACGUCGUGUGAGUGAUGAAGGUUUUCGAAUCGUGAAGCUCUGUCAGUGGGGAAGAACCCAACAAGCAUCAGAUCCUUGUUGUUGACGGUACCUACAAAGGAAGCACCGGCUAACUCCGUG
rnacentral:rRNA from 1 species